GGUGCACAUGAUGAUUCUCUAGCGACCAAAGCCUGAUUGCUUGUGAUUAUAGCUUAUUAGAUACUGAUGCACC